AAUUAUUCCGAGCUCAACACCUAGCCCUUCACCCCCUUAAUAAUAAUCUCUUAUUUAACCUUUUAAACUAAAACAUUUUAUCAAUUAAGUAAAGGCGAUUAAAAAAUUCUUAGGAGCUAUACAUAUAGUACCGCAAGGGAAAGAUGAAAUAACAAUGAAAUUACUUUAAGCAAAAAAAAGUAAAGAUUACCUCUUGUACCUUUUGCAUUAUGGUUUAACUAGUCUAAUCAAGCAAAAUGACUUUUAGUUUGACCUCCCGAAACUACGCGAGCUACUUCGAGGCAGCUUUAUGAGCAAACCCGUCUCUGUUGCAAAAGAGUGGGAAGACCUUCAAGUAGAGGUGACAGACCUAACGAGCCUAGUGAUAGCUGGUUACUCAAAAAAAGAAUAUUAGUUCAGCCUAAAGUUACACUUGUAAUAAAAAAUUUUAACUUGACUUUAGAGUUAUUCAAAUAAGGUACAGCCUAUUUGAACCAGGAUACAACCUCACCUGACGGGUAAAUUUACUAUCAUUUUUAUAACCAAGUGGGCCUAAGAGCAGCCACCUUUAAAACAGCGUCAAAGCUUAAUUAUAAAGAUCUUCAAUUCCUCUCUACAUCAUUAACCCUCUAAUUCUAUUGAGUAAUUCUAUAACUUUAUAGAAAAUUUUAUGUUAAAACUAGUAACAAGAAGUAGACCUUCUCUUUAAUGCAAACUAAAAUCAGAAAGGACACCCCACUGAUGAUUAACACUUAUGACCCGAAAGUAGUAACUUUAACAAGAAAAUUCUACCUCCACUCAAUGUCAACCUUACACAAGAGCAUUACAAGAAAAAUUAAAAGAAAAAGAAGGAACUCGGCAAAUAUUUAACCUCGCCUGUUUACCAAAAACAUCGCCUCUUGACAAAUAUAAGAGGUCCAGCCUGCCCAGUGACUCUGUUCAACGGCCGCGGUAUCCUAACCGUGCGAAGGUAGCGUAAUCACUUGUUCUUUAAAUGAGGACUAGUAUGAAAGGCAUCACGAGGGUUAUACUGUCUCCUUUUUCUAAUUAGUGAAACUAAUCUCCCCGUGAAGAAGCGGGGAUUACUUUAUAAGACGAGAAGACCCUAUGGAGCUUUAAAUUAAAUAACAAUUGCCACCUUAUUUUCAUUAACUUUAUAACGUCUAGCAAUAUGAUUAUUAAUUUUUGGUUGGGGUGACCGCGGAGCAUAACAUAACCUCCACAUUGAAAGGAUUUACUCCUAAGCUAAAAGCAACAACUUUAAGCAUCAAUAAAUUGACAUUAAUUGACCCAAUAUAUUUGAUCAACGAACCAAGUUACCCUAGGGAUAACAGCGCAAUCUACUUUAAGAGCCCAUAUCGACAAGUAGGUUUACGACCUCGAUGUUGGAUCAGGGUAUCCUAGUGGUGCAGCCGCUACUAAUGGUUCGUUUGUUCAACGAUUAAAACCCU
rnacentral:rRNA from 1 species